AAGCACACCCCUGCUUCCCCCUGUGGGUCUGAUGGUGUUGUGGCUCAUUUGGUGGGAAGCCAGUCACACACACAAACAAUCCCCAGCCACAUACCCCAGACACCCAGGCCCUAGAGACCAGCUCAGCCAAAGAGUCUACCUAUGAGACCCCCCAAGACUAAUGAAAACUAUGUGACCACAACCAACAGAUGACCACAGUUCAGAUCCGACUGGGCUAUAAAACAAGGUUCCUGCUGAAGACCCCUCUUGAGUGGUUCUCCUCAGAGAAGAAAGUCUGUGAUUGGAAGCUCUCCCUUUGGGUUGAGACAUCACCCAAGGUAACUUCUCCCCAGUUACUGAGUGACCUCGCCUUUUAGUGUUAUUGUGCUCAGAGAACAGACAAUGUCAAAAUGCCAACGGUACCUGAUUUUUCAUUGAAUGCCAACAAUGAAAAAGAAGCUUCCAGCCAGUGGAAACAUAGAAUUAUUCCAAAGUCUUCGAAUAGCAAGUAAAAAUAAGCAACAUAACAAGGGCAUUGACAGCAGAGAUAAAGAAGUCAUUAUCCCACUCUACUCAGUGCUUGUCAGACCACACCUGGAAUACUGUGUUCAGUUUUUGUCCCCACUAUACAUAAAAGAUAUGGACAGGCUGGGAAGGUUCCAUAGAAGGGGCACAAAGAUGAUCCAAGGACUGGGAAGCCUGCAGUAUGAGGAAAGACUGGGAGAACCACUUUGUUCAGCCUUGAGAAAAGAAGGCUUAGGGGAGACCUUAUUACCAUGUUCCAGUAUUUAAAGGGUGGCUACAAAGAAGACAGAGACUCCCUUUUAAAAGGAGUCACACAGAAAAAACAAGGGAUAAUGGGUGCAAGCUACUCCUGAGGAGAUUCUGAUUGGAGACACAAGAGGAAAAUUUUUCAUAAUGAGAACAAUCAGAUGUUGGAAUAAUCUCCCCAGGGAAGUUGUGGAUACCCCAUCACUGGACGCUUUUAAGAUUCAGUUGGACAGGGUGCUGGGCCUUCUUGUCUUCACUGUGCUUUUGCCAAGAAAGGUUGGCUAGGUCCCUGGGGUCUCUUCCAGCCUGGUAUUCAAUGAUUCUAUGAUGCUGUGAACCAUACCACCACUUCAGAAACAGAGCUCGAUCAUUUAAUGGAAAGGUUUUUGAGACAUGGUUGCAAGAGUGUGGUCCAUGGUGUGGACACCACAAACAGUAUUGUUUAAAGGCCACUUGAACAGAAAAACAAUGAUACCCAGUCAUUGUACAAAAACGAGUAAAUACAAAAUAAACAAAAAAUGUCUAUACCUUUCUCCUUCUUC
rnacentral:lncRNA from 1 species